rnacentral:tRNA from 1 species
CAAAGAGUAGUUUAAGUUAAAAUACUGGUUUUGGGGACUAGAGAUAGCGAGUCUUUCUUUGA